UUAUAAUUAAAAUAUAAUUAUUUAACUUUAAAAGUAUCUAAAAAUUAAUUUAAAAAUCAAUAAAUUAAUAAACUAAAAAGUAAAAAAAAUAAAAGAAACCCUUGAAAGUUGAAUAAAUAAUACUACAGAAAAAUAUUAAAUUAAAAUAAAUGUACAAAAAUUAACAACCUAAAUAAAAUUAAAUUAAUAACCUAAGAAAAACAAGAAAAUGAAACGCUAAGGCCUCAACAGAUAUGGGAGAUCCGUUCGAGCUUCAAAGGAGGAAAACACCCAAAAUGUUGAAAGGCUUCAACGGAUAUUGGACAUCCGUUAAGCCUUCAACAAAUCUCGAGAUCCGUUGAAGACUCAACGAAUGUCCCAUAUCCGUUGCAGCCUUUGACGUUUCUCUUUUUCUUCAUUUAACACAGAACAAAGGCACAUAAAAUCACUAACCUGGAUCAGAGACAACAACAAAGGAAGCACCAAACUCCACAACAACACAAACCCACCAUGAAUCAAGCAACAUAUGAUAAAUUGGAGAAAAAGGAAUAUGGAAAAUUAGGGAAAGAGAAGAGGAGAAUAAGAGAGGAAGAGAGAAAGUAAGAGUGUGGGGGUGAGGUUGUGGUGUACGACUAAGUGAAUAAGAGAGUAAAAAAUCAGGAUUUUAAGAAAAAGUUAAAAAAGAUAAAGGAUAAAAGUAAAUAUGGAUGUUUUUGAAUUAAAAAUAAAUAAAUUGGAAAGGUGUAGAGAGCAAUAUGCAGUUAUGAAGGAAGUAAUGCUCUAAGUUAUAAUUACUGAACCAAUGGUUUGGGUAGAGAAACCGUUAAUAAAUUAAUAACAAAAUAAUUAAAGAUAUUGAUAACUAAUUACUGGUUAGUG
rnacentral:lncRNA from 1 species